rnacentral:rRNA from 1 species
CUAACCUGGUUGAUCCUGCCAGUAGUCAUACGCUUAUCUCAAAGAUUAAGCCAUGCAUGUCUAAGUAUAAGCACUUAUACCGUGAAACUGCGAAUGGCUCAUUAUAUCAGUUAUAGUUUAUUUGAUAGUCCCUACUACAUGGAUAACCGUAGUAAUUCUAGAGCUAAUACAUGCACAAAAUCCUGACUGCUUGC